rnacentral:rRNA from 1 species
AUUGAACGCUAGCGGGAUGCCUUACACAUGCAAGUCGAACGGAGUGGCGAACGGGUGAGUAAUGUAUCUGAACGUGCCCAGUAGCGGGGGAUAACUACGCGAAAGCGUAGCUAAUACCGCAUACUAUUGGAGCGGCCGAUAUCGGAUUAGCUAUUUGGUGGGGGAACGGCGAACCAAGGCGACGAUCCGUAGCUGGGUGGAGAGGACGACCAGCCACAAGGGGACUGAGACACGGCCCAGACUCCUACGGGAGGCAGCAGUGGGGAAGUGUGGAAAAGGGGGGAAACCCUGAUCCAGCCAUCCCGCGUGGGGGAUGAAGGCCUUCGGGUUGUAAAGCACUUUUGGCAGGAAAGCGGUACCUGCAGAAUAAGCACCGGCUAACUACGUGCCAGCAGCCGCGGUAAUUC